GCGGCGUACGGGUGCGGAACACGUGUGCACUAGCUUUAUCUGGGGGAUAGCCUUUCGAAAGGAAGAUAAUACCCAUAAUAUGUUGAAUGGCCAUCAUUCGACAUUGAAAACUCCGGUGGAUAGAGAUGGGCACGCGCAAGAUUAGAUAGUUGGUGAGGUAACGGUCACCAAGUCUACGAUCUUUAGGGGCCUGAAGGCGAUCCCCAACUGGUACUGAACACGGACCAACUCCUACGGGAGGCAGCAGUGAGGGAUAUUGGACAAUGGGUGAGAGCCUGAUCCAGCCAUCCCGCGUGAAGGACGACUGCCCUAUGGGUUGUAAACUUCUUUUAGCAGAGACGAAACGCCUCCAUUUAUGGGGGUCUGACGGUAUCUGCGGAAUAAGCACCGGUUAACUCCGGCCAGCAGCCGGGUAAUACGGAGGUGCAAGCGUUAUCCGGAAUCACUGGGUUAAGGUGCCGUUAAGGCGGGGGGGAUUAAAGUCCAGUGGGUGGAAAAGGCCUGGUAAGCUUAAACUAACAGAAAUUGGCCAUUGGAUCAUAGAAUUUAGCCCUUCGGAAAUUCGGGGUCAGAAGGUUAAACCGGACNANUGGUNCAACC
rnacentral:rRNA from 1 species